CGACCGGCGCACGGGUGCGUAACGCGUAUGCAACCUACCUUUAACAGGGGGAGUAACACUGAGAAAUUGGUACUAAUACCCCAUAAUAUCAUAGAAGGCAUCUUUUUAUGGUUGAAAAUUCCGAUGGUUAGAGAUGGGCAUGCGUUGUAUUAGCUAGUUGGUGGGGUAACGGCUCACCAAGGCGACGAUACAUAGGGGGACUGAGAGGUUAACCCCCCACACUGGUACUGAGACACGGACCAG
rnacentral:rRNA from 1 species